rnacentral:rRNA from 1 species
AAGACCUUUGCGCUUUUGGAGCGGCCGAUGUCUGAUUAGCUAGUUGGUGGGGUAAUGGCCUACCAAAGCUUCGAUCAGUAGCUGGUCUGAGAGGACGGCCAGCCACACUGGGACUGAGACACGGCCCAGWCUCCUACGGGAGGCAGCAGUGGGGAAUUUUGGACAAUGGGCGCAAGCCUGAUCCAGCCAUGCCGCGUGAGUGAAGAAGGCCUUCGGGUUGUAAAGCUCUCUCAGCCGGAACGAAACGGUUACGGUUAAUACCUGUGAUUACUGACGGUACCGGAAGAAGAAGCACCGGCUAACUACGUGCCAGCAGCCGCGGUAAUACGUAGGGUGCGAGCGUUAAUCGGAAUUACUGGGCGUAAAGCGUGCGCAGGUGGUUUUGUAAGUCAGAUGUGAAAGCCCCGGGCUCAACCUGGGAAACU